rnacentral:lncRNA from 1 species
UUCAAUCUAUGCAGACGAGAUCUCUCCACCCAGAUAAGCAGUGAAAAUUAAAUUUGCAUUUGAAGGCUACAUUUGAAGUCGUCGUUGAAGAUGUAUAAUAUAUUUAUUCUGCCUCUUACUCAUCAGUCAACAGAGAAGUAUCAACAAAUUCCUUGGAGGCUUUUACAAAUAAACUGUUUUAUAGGUGAAGAAAGCUGUAAAUAUCAUUUUUGCGCCCUCUUUCUGUCAUUGGUUUAGCGUGCUACUACCUUCUUUUCCAUUCUCUCUGUCGGCUCAUAAAAAAAUCCAUCGUUUAAUGUGUACAGGUCAUCAACUCCUAUUUAUUUAAUCUGAUUUUUGUUAACCAGCAAAAACAACAUUUUGCAUCCCGAGGCACCCCUCCCCCAUUGGUUAAAAAAAAGCUCGAUCUUAACAACGUUCAAGGCAUUUUUUU